GGGGAAUAUUGCUCAAUGGGGGAAACCCUGAAGCAGCAACGCCGCGUGAAGGAUGAAGGUUUUCGGAUUGUAAACUUCUUUGAUUGGGGACGAAUAAUGACGGUACCCAAAGAACAAGCCACGGCUAACUACGUGCCAGCAGCCGCGGUAAUACGUAGGUGGCGAGCGUUGUCCGGAAUUACUGGGUGUAAAGGGCGUGUAGGCGGGGUUGUAAGUCAGAUGUGAAAUACCGGGGCUUAACUCCGGGGCUGCAUCUGAAACUAUGGCUCUUGAGUGCUGGAGAGGAAAGCGGAAUUCCUAGUGUAGCGGUGAAAUGCGUAGAUAUUAGGAGGAACACCAGUGGCGAAGGCGGCUUUCUGGACAGUAACUGACGCUGAGGCGCGAAAGCGUGGGGAGCAAAC
rnacentral:rRNA from 1 species